AACGAACGCUGGCGGCAGGCUUAACACAUGAAAGUCGAACGGGCGUAGCAAUACGUCAGUGGCAGACGGGUGAGUAACACGUGGGAACCUUCCUCGUAGUACGGAACAACGCAGGGAAACUUGAGCUAAUACCGUAUACGUCCGAGAGGAGAAAGAUUUAUCGCUAUGAGACGGGCCCGCGUCCGAUUAGGUAGUUGGUGGGGUAACGGCCUACCAAGCCGACGAUCGGUAGCUGGUCUGAGAGGAUGAUCAGCCACACUGGGACUGAGACCCGGGCCAGACUGCUACGGGAGCCAGCAGUGGGGAAGUUUGGACAAUGGGAGCAAGCCUGGUCCGGCAAUGCCGCGUGAGUGAAGACGGCCUUAGGGUUGUAAAGCUCUUCUGCAAGAGACGAUAACGACGGUACCUGGAGAAUAAGCCCCGGCAAACUUCGUGCCAGCCGCCGCCGUAAAAC
rnacentral:rRNA from 1 species